CCAAUUUUUAUACUAAUCGAAAUGACCAUCUAGCAAUGGUACCCGACGUCCGGAUAGGUCGAAGAGUCGCAAUCGCAACACUCAGAACCUACAUGAAUAUGGUUACUGUAUAAUUCAUCCUUUUGACCCCUGUGUUUAGGAUGACUCAGGGUUAAACUGUCAACCCUGAUCAGAUCAUCCGAAUCAUGCUCAACUCAAACAGUCCUGUGACUCCUCACAAGGACUACCCUGGCCAAGAUUUUGCUAAAUUGAAAUACGACUGUACACAGCUCCUAAACUGGAGUGGUCAAUCCCAUCUUGACACACGCACCGACAAGUAAAGUACUUGACUACACC
rnacentral:lncRNA from 1 species